rnacentral:tRNA from 1 species
GGGGUUGUGGCUCAGUGGUAGAUAGCUUGCCUAGCAUGUAUGAUGCGCUGGGUUCGAUCCUCAGAACCACA